GCACUGCUGAGGAGUCCCAAAAUAGGACGAAACAGCCAUCCAGUAC
rfam:Schistosoma rodhaini strain Burundi genome assembly, scaffold: SROB_scaffold0023605